AGUUUGAUCAUGGCUCAGGAUGAACGCUGGCGGCGUGCCUAAUACAUGCAAGUCGAGCGAACGGAUUGAGAGCUUGCUCUCAAGAAGUUAGCGGCGGACGGGUGAGUAACACGUGGGUAACCUGCCCAUAAGACUGGGAUACCCCGGAAACCGGGGCUAAUACCGGAUAAUAUUUUGAACUGCAUGGUUCGAAAUUGAAAGGCGGCUUCGGCUGUCACUUAUGGAUGGACCCGCGUCGCAUUAGCUAGUUGGUGAGGUAACGGCUCACCAAGGCAACGAUGCGUAGCCGACCUGAGAGGGUGAUCGGCCACACUGGGACUGAGACACGGCCCAGACUCCUACGGGAGGCAGCAGUAGGGAAUCUUCCGCAAUGGACGAAAGUCUGACGGAGCAACGCCGCGUGAGUGAUGAAGGCUUUCGGGUCGUAAAACUCUGUUGUUAGGGAAGAACAAGUGCUAGUUGAAUAAGCUGGCACCUUGACGGUACCUAACCAGAAAGCCACGGCUAACUACGUG
rnacentral:rRNA from 1 species